rnacentral:rRNA from 1 species
UACAGAGGUCUCGAGCGUUAGGCGGAAUCACUGGGCUUAAAGCGUGUGUAGGUGGAUCGGUAAGUACCUUGUGAAAUCCCACGGCUUAACCGUGGAACUGCUUGGUAUACUGCCAGUCUUGAGCCAGCUAGGGGCUACCGGAACAAAUGGUGGAGCGGUGAAAUGCGUAGAUAUCGAGAGGAACACCUGCGGCGAAGGCGGGUUGCUGGGCUGACACUGACGCUGAUGCGCGAAAGCUAGGGGAGCGAACGGG